rnacentral:rRNA from 1 species
UGCAGUCGAGCGAAUGGAUUGAGAGCUUGCUCUCAUGAAGUUAGCGGCGGACGGGUGAGUAACACGUGGGUAACCUGCCCAUAAGACUGGGAUAACUCCGGGAAACCGGGGCUAAUACCGGAUAACAUUUUGAACUGCAUGGUUCGAAAUUGAAAGGCGGCUUCGGCUGUCACUUAUGGAUGGACCCRCGUCRCAUUAGCUAGUUGGUGAGGUAACGGCUCACCAAGGCAACGAUGCGUAGCCGACCUGAGAGGGUGAUCGGCCACWCUGGGACUGAGACACGGCCCASACUCCUACGGGAGGCAGCARUARGGAAUCUUCCGCAAUGGACGAAAGUCUGACGGAGCAACGCCGCGUGAGUGAUGAAGGCUUUCGGGUCGUAAAACUCUGUUGUUAGGGAAGAACAAGUGCUAGUUGAAUAAGCUGGCACCUUGACGGWACCUAACCAGAAAGCCACGGCUAACUACGUGCCAGCAGCCGCGGUAAUACGUASGUGGCAAGCGUUAUCCGGAAUUAUUGGGCGUAAAGCGCGCGCAGGUGGUUUCUUAAGUCUGAUGUGAAAGCCCACGGCUCAMCCGUGGAGGGUCAUUGGAAACUGGGAGACUUGAGUGCAGAAGARGAAAGUGGAAUUCCAUGUGUAGCGGUGAAAUGCGUAGAGAUAUGGAGGAACACCAGUGGCSAAGGCGACUUUCUGGUCUGUAACUGACACUGAGGCGCGAAAGCGUGGGGAGCAAACAGGAUUAGAUACCCUGGUAGUCCACGCCGUAAACGAUGAGUGCUAA